GAUGAACGCUGGCGGCGUGCCUAAUACAUGCAAGUCGAGCGAACAGACGAGGAGCUUGCUCCUCUGACGUUAGCGGCGGACGGGUGAGUAACACGUGGAUAACCUACCCAUAAGACUGGGAUAACUUCGGGAAACCGGAGCUAAUACCGGAUAAUAUAUUGAACCGCAUGGUUCAAUAGUGAAAGACGGUUUUGCUGUCACUUAUAGAUGGAUCCGCGCCGCAUUAGCUAGUUGGUAAGGUAACGGCUUACCAAGGCGACGAUGCGUAGCCGACCUGAGAGGGUGAUCGGCCACACUGGAACUGAGACACGGUCCAGACUCCUACGGGAGGCAGCAGUAGGGAAUCUUCCGCAAUGGGCGAAAGCCUGACGGAGCAACGCCGCGUGAGUGAUGAAGGUCCUCGGAUCGUAAAACUCUGUUAUUAGGGAAGAACAAAUGUGUAAGUAACUAUGCACGUCUUGACGGUACCUAAUCAGAAAGCCACGGCUAACUACGUG
rnacentral:rRNA from 1 species